CCAAAAAAGUUCUUCAACUUUGAAAUGUUGGCAAAGACCCCCUGGUAAGGUGUCUGUUUCAUAACCAAAGAUCAUGAGAUUCAAACCCCAUCCAUGCCUGGCCCUAGAAAGUACAAAUUCACAGGAGAGGUGUUCUAGCAAGUGACUAAAAACACAGGCUUGGCAGCCAAACAGGUUUGUGUUUAAAUCCUGGCCUUGUCACUAAAACCAAAUGUCCUUGAGGAAACUGCUUAGCUAAAACCUUAGUUUUGUUAUCAGUCAAAUGGAGAUGUUAAUGGUACCUGUUUCUUGGUGUUGUUGCAGAGAUUAGAUGAGAUAAUCAAUGACCCCAAAGGAGAAGAAGACAAAUGGAGCUCUGGAAGAAUGAUUAAUCUCUCCCAGAAAGUGGCUAGCAUCCUCUCUGAUACAUGGGCCCUCAGCCAUGGGGACCAACCGAAGAUAUUCCUGCCCCCAGCACCAGAAACCUACUGGAGCUGCCUGGCUUGGGUGCGAUUGGGUAAGACAUGGGAGAGGGGCCCCUGGGACAGAGGCUCCUAUGGGAUUCCAGUCUCAGUCAUUCACAGAAUGGAGAGAUGGUAAAAGGAUGUCCAUCUGAUGCCUGAAUUCUUCCCGUUGUGUGGGGGUCUAUAAACAGGCCUAAGGUUUCAUCUCAGUUCCACGAACUGCCACUUUUGUAAUAUCAUCCCUCUCUGAGCCUCAGUUUCCUUACUUGUGAAAUGGGCACAGUAAUAGAGUCAGACUUGUGUGUUAUUGUGAAAAUGAAACACAAAUUAUCCAUAGAGAGUGCUUAACUACCUUGUAGGCCAUUUAUCACCUCAAGGAAAUCUUAGCCUCUGAGAGGCUCCAAAAUAUAAAUAUUUUUUGGAAUUAGGAGGUCCCUAGGAAACUCAAAGCACAUGUUCCCUGGAGAUUUCCCAUGAAGUGUUUGCCAUUAGAAGUUCCCACAAAUGGCUCAGCCUAUUGCUUUUGCCUAAUAAUAGGCUUGUAGUUAAAAAACAAAAAAUCCUGAAGAGCAUUCAAAGAGCAGGUAUCCUUGAGAAUGCCAGGUGUGGGAGGCACAAAGAAGACAAGACAGGAGUGAGCCACACCACGGCUCAACAGAAGCCCUUGAGUACUUCAGGAAGUAAGUCCUAGUUUUUGAAGGCCCUAUGCUUGGAGGCUCAUCUUUGCCAUGUAGUUCCCAAGAGUUGGGGUGCCUGAGGUAGCUCACAAACCCCUCAGUCCUCUGGGACAACUUCUGUAUUAUGAGAUCCUCCUGACUGUGGGUCACCACACCUGGAGUGGGGUUUCUUGUGAGACUGUGUCUCUGCCUCUCCUGUUUCCAUAUAUUUUAUCCUUUUAUCCGUUAUUGUACAGACACUGUUAAGCUAUCUUUCAGAUCCUUUUCAGAGGGAAUUGUUCCAUAAGCAGCUGUUGAAUUCUUGUGUUCAUGGGAGGAGGAAUCACCUUUAUGCCUGGAACCCUUCAGCUGACUGUCAAGGACAUUUUCUAUCAAUCAUACACAUCUAAGUCCCAGUGCAUGGUAGUCAAUGAGGCUAUGGUCCCACUUGUGGACCUUGUUGUGUCCAACUAUGCCCCCUUGAAGACCAAUCUCUUGGUAUCAGAUAAGAGCUAUGACGGGUGGUUACAUUUCAAGGAGUUGAUUCACUGAAUGGGCACUAAACACAAGAUGCUGAAAUAAAGAAAAUGUCUCUUUUGGAAGAUGAGAUGAUGUGUGAGACGUGUUAAUGUAACUUGGGUGGUGUAAAAGGAGAGACAGGGAAGCUGGACAGCAAUUUCUAAUCCUGUAUCCAGAGUACUCCCUUACACAAGAUUUAUGAACUGUCUUGUUACUUCUCAGUCUGAGUGGAAGGUCACAUCUCCUGAUUCAUACCUAAGUAUUCCUUCUGGGAGACAACCAAUAAAUAGCUGAUAAAAAUAUGAAGGAUCAGGAAGCAUAUUAAAGACAAGGAACACUCAUGCUCACCAGUAAGUGGGAGAAAUACUUAUUAGAACAAUGGGAUGAUGCCACAUCCACCCUCAGGUAAGCCAAAAAUUGAGUUUGAUCGCUAUAAAUGUGGUCUCUAGAUGGAGACCCUGAGCUUGUCUCAUCCUGGAAAUGCAGUUAGAUCAGCACCAAAUCAUUCUCAACAGCUAGCAAAGAGAUUUGAACAUUAAGACAAUAAUCUGCAUCACUUGAGCCACAGAACAUGGCAGGUAUGUGGUGUGGAUAGGUGAACUGCUGGAGAGAAAAGCCGGGGAGGGGGGGAGCUCUUUGUGGAGAGAGAGGACAGAGAAAAGGAAAGGGGGAGAGUGCAGCCCAUGGGGAUGGUGCAAGAAAAGCACUCCCCUGAACGUAGCUGGAGAGAAAGAGAGAGAAAGUGAAAACACUUGCAGGGGACUGGACAAGAAAUCUGUGAAACCACACGAAAAAAUUUGGAAAGACCAUGGAUACCUGGAGAUUAAAGAACAUCCUACUAUAGAAUGAACGGGUUAACCAAGAAAAUAAAGAGGAAUUAUAAAAGUACA